AUUUGAUGACUUUAGCACUUGGAAUUUUAAUUAAGUUUUCAAAGCAAGUGCAGUUUAUUUUUACCGAGAAAUCAAAGAAUGCCGGUUUAUGAAAAUUUUUCCAAACAAAAUAUUUUCAAAUCAUUUUUCCUAUGAUGAGGAAUAUUAUAAUUGAGUGAGUGCACUAAUAUUAGUGCCAUAUUUAUUUUAAAUAUUGGUCACAAGAGUUUUGUAGCAUUGCAUUAAUUAGUAAUUAGUCUUUUAUGAUUUUGUUAAUGUAGCUUAAUACAUGAUUUAUUCUAGACUACACAACCUUACACACACAUGAUUAUUUUAAUCUAAUAAGCAUGUGAUUAAUUUCCUUAGCCUUACUUGAAGUGGACGUGUGGUAUGAAGAUGAAGGGAAGGGAUUAGUGUAUAGGGGGGGACAAGUAUUAAAUGGUGAAUAGUGUUUGGUCUCCAAUCAUCCUUCCUAAGCAAGACAAAUUCACUUCAUUUCUUUCAUUUUCUUCACCAUUCGGCCACUCUCAAUUUCUCUCCCUCUCUUCCGAUUUUGCUCCAAAAGAUCACCAUAGAUGAAUCACCAAAGCUUCCAAGUUCACAUCAAGAUCAAUUCCUCCACCAAAUCAACAUAAACACCUUUCAAUUCUUGAAGAUUUCAAGAGGACCGUGGGGUUUGGUUUGAAGAGUGAGAAAGGAAAACUUUGAUCUUUGUUUAAUCUUGGGUUGAGCAGUUGAUGGAAUGGAAUGAUGUUGAGCGGGUGUUCCUUUGACAUUUCAAGAAAUGUAACCUUGAGUAUACAUCUUCAUAUGUAUAUCUCACACGUUUUCCGCUGCAAAACACUUUGAUUAGGAUAACUUUAUGUUAUGAAAUUGUGACACGUGUUAUUGGGUAAACCACCUUAAUCAGUUCUCAUUUAUGUGUAUGUUUUAUAAGUAUCCAAAUAAUCAUAUAUGAUCCUAGCAUUUUAUCUAUGAGUGACAUUUCCAUAUACUUUAAUGUUAA